rnacentral:misc_RNA from 1 species
GAUGAAGAACGCAGCGAAAUGCGAUAAUUAAUGUGAAUUGCAGAAUUCAGUGAAUCAUCGAGUCUUUGAACGCACAUUGCGCCCCCUGGUAUUCCGGGGGGCAUGCCUGUCCGAGCGUCAUUGCUGCCCUCAAGCCCGGCUUGUGUGUUGGGCCUCGUCCCCCCUCCGGGGGACGGGCCCGAAAGGCAGCGGCGGCACCGUGUCCGGUCCUCGAGCGUAUGGGGCUUUGUCACCCGCUCUGUAGGCCCGGCCGGCGCCUUAGCCGACGACACAAUCUUUUUUUUCAGGUUGACCUCGGAUCAGGUAGGGAUACCCGCUGAACUUAAGCAUAUCAUAAGCGGAGGA